UUUUUUUUUUCCCUAUUAUGAACUCACACUGGAAUUCUCUGCUGGAAUUUCUAAGACCUUCCUUUCUCUCCACUAAGGAAGCGCUGGUCCCGAGUCGCCUGGGACAGCUUCCUUUGGUGGUUGAGGGGCCAUCCAGGUCUAGGUAUCAGUCAUUCCCCCACAGGAAAGUUUUUGCUGUUGUUAUUUUGUUUUGUUUAUGUUUUGGCAGUGAGAAAAGCAUGCUGGACUCUGAGCAGAUUCAUGUUACAUCAGUACCAACAGCUCACACCCAAUGUCUUCCCUUGGCUCCUGUAGAUGAAGGCUGAAGGUCAUGUAUCCCCCUCCCCACACCCCCACCAGGCACUAGGAUAUCAGAGUGAUUGACAAGUGAAUUCGCUAGGGUAGUUUCCAACAACUGUAUUAAGCCCAGAUGCCAGGGCUAUGAUAAAGAGAGAAGAAAAAUUGUCCAGUGGGAUCCAUCUUAACCCAACAGUUUUCGGGAAAACACAGAAAUCUACCUGCUAGCUACACAUAGUAGAUGUGGAAGCCAAAGACACACACACACAGAGAGAUCAUGUCAUUGAACCCAGAAUGGCCGUACUGGGCUUGAUUCCCUGCCAGUUGGUCAAGCGAGACCUCUUUGAGGUGCAUCAACUUCAGACCUCAUCCUUGAAGAUGGGUCAAGCUCCCACACCACAGGCAGAGUGGUGGUUUAGUGAGAGUCUAUGACUGGAAGGGGCAGCAGCUGGGUGAAGCAACGAGUGCUGGAAUGGUUGUUAAUGCAGUUUGUGACCUCUGAGCAGUAUUUUCUUUGUUUUAUCGUUGGGACAAAUGAAACUCCUUUCACUGAACUGAAGUCAGCAGAGGGGAAGUACAGACCCUCACUGAACACUGAGCAAACACUGUCUCAGGAAGCCUGGCUUGUUCCCUGCCACGCCUGCUCAAUGUCAGGACUGCUGACCAAACAGGCGGCUUCCUCAUCGGGGAUUUCACACUGCAGACAACUCCCUGGGUAGGAUGCACAGCUCGGGCAAGGUUACCCAGAGUUGGGCGGGGAGAGAGACCUGCACUGCCCAUAUGCAUCAAUGAGAGACCCACUUGAAGAAUUUUUAUUUGCUUUUGUUUUUGUUUUUUUUCGGGAGACUACACUUCAUCCUAGGCCCUGGAUUGUGCAUAACCUAUGGAUGUAUCUCAACAGCCAAAGACAGACAGGCUGUAACAAAGCAGGUGCACCAUGCUCCCCGUGUGAAGUGGUGCCUCGAAAGUGCAGUAAAGUUCUCCCCACCUUUUUGAAGUGGGUUGCCCCUCUUCCAGUUCCUCCAGUUAAGCCAUUUGGAGACUUGCUUUGCCCAGAUUUUCUAUUUAGCCUUUCAUUUCAUUCGAUCAACUCAUUUUUUAUAACCCGUCCAAUACUUGGAGAGACAGAGAACAAGACAGGUUUAAAGAAACACAUUCUUUGCGGAUUUGUAUUAAAGGAGUCCACCGCUGUGACGUCCCCUAAAGCAGGCCUGCUAGAUGAUGUCCCUCUUAACAAGGAACUUGCACAAAAUCUAGAACCAGUGGAGGUCAGAGCUUCGAUUUGAACCUAUCGAGCACAACUCUAGGAAGCCUUCACUCUUCCCGUCGCUCCUGCCCCUGGAUGGGUCUGAUUUCAAGUCCAGAACAGCAGCAGGCAGACACAGACACAAUUUAGAGGCAACGUCUUUACGCUACAAAGUGGCUUACGUAACAAAUGUUUUAAAGCAGAGAACUGUGUGUGAACAUCACGCCCGGGAUGUGGUGACGGCUUUAAAUGUUCCCAUGCUCGAAGUGGAGGUGCUGAUGACGCCCAUGGAACAAGGUCAUUGGUGCAUGCAGUGCAGCAAGCCAGGCUCUGCAAGGAUAUGGGGGAAAGAAACUCGAGCCUGGAGGGUUAGGAGAACCCCAAAAGCAAGCGUCGAAGGAGCGGCGACCUGCACUUCCAGCCCUCUGCAUUCUUCUGACUCUGUUCCUUGGUUUGUAGAAGAUCCUGUGUCAUUGCUCUGUGCAGAUCUGUUCUCUACAGCAUGCCGGAUCUUUUUAAAAAUAAAGUGAGUUGUGAUCCUCCCACGAUGGCGUUCUAUUUUCUUCCUGCUCAAACCAAACACUUCAGAAGUCUCCUACUUGCUCCAAUGCAGACUCAAGCCUCGUCUUGAUCCACAGCCCCUUCUUGACUGAGUUCUUCCUGUCAUUCCCAACUCUUACCGCAUGUUACUCUCCUUCCUUUACUGUCCUUCCACAGAGCCUUUGUGGUCUUCACUCAUCCGGAAGCCAAGCCAAACCAACCUUCCUCAACCUCCCAGCACCCACCCCUCACGUCCCUCAGUGGAUCCACUUUCCAUUCAAUAUGUAAGGUGACUGUAGUUUCUACCUGAGGCUACUCAUAUCCUUCUGUGGUCCCGACUUGCAGUGCAAGUGCAGUGCAAGUGGCUGCUACUCACAUUCCAUUUACAUAGAUUCUUGGAUGCAGGAAGUAGGGAAAGACAGACAGCUCUGUACACAGCAUCAUGAAGGAUGCCUUAAUUGUCCUCCUGUGCAUUAGGCAAAAGCCUGCUCAGGAUUACUAUGUAAUUUCUAAGGAAUUUAAGAGUUAACAUCAGUUCCACAUAAUACAGGCCUCCCCUGGGCUCCCUAAAAAGUUCUUUUGUGUCUAGGAUUAAGUGGGCUCAGUUGGUUGAUACAGGCUGAAUAAGGGCACAAUGCCUAGGCUCAGCCCAGCCAAUCCUUCCAGAAGGGUCCUGAUUACUUCCUGCAGCUUGGAUGCCUUUUCUUCUUCCAGUGCUUGGUGACUCUGGGAGACAGCACCUUGCAGCCACCCUAGCAGUUAAGACAUUUGAAACAAACCCAAUAUCUUUUACUAGAAGUAAUUAAGGAAAAAAAAUCAACAAAAACUAAAUGUUGGAUACAUUAUAGAAAUGUAAUCAGAAAUAAAGAUGUGGCUCUGGUAAAAAUUCCCCAAGUAGGGAUUCAACAGUAUUUCAAAAAUCCUUACACUGUAGAUAAGUGUAUUUUUCCCCCUGUAUACUUUGAUUUAUUCAGGCAGGGGGCUUUUAAAGAGGGAGAGGUUCACUAUCUCUUUAGCUACCAGAACAGAAUGCCUUUGAUCUCAGGCAUCCUACUUUGUGGACACAGUAGCCAGGCUUCCUGGGAGGUCAGAGCUGGGCACCAUCACUCUUGUCCUUGACUAAGGUUAAUGACAUCCUCAGACUUUGUUGUAUGUUGCUUUGAUGAACCAGAGAUCCCCCGCCUUUGGUGGCAGAGAAAGCCCUCAAAGCUCUGGAAUUUAUCUCCACUUCAGUAAAGUUUUUUUUUAGGUUUUUAGGGUUAGACUGUGUUGUCUCAUUGGAAUUAAUUUUGACAUGUUUUGGCAUAGCAGAGCAAUUGUUCAGUAGACAGUGGCACUUUCUGAGCUUGGUGGCUAACAAUUAUAAAAUCUUAGGUAACAGCAGCAACUCAUGCCCAUAAAAUAUUUUGUGUCCCUAAAUCAUUACCAAGUCAGAAGGACACUAGAACACAAGGGAUCAACACUCGACUCCUUCCUGAAAGAUGCCCAGUUUUCAUGGUAUGCACGCAAUUCAGAUGAUUCGAUUUGCAACUAACUUUUAGCUUAUUUCUUUUUUAGAUACUGAAUGGGAGUGGCCGUAUCCGAUACUGCCUUGAUUUAACAGGUAAGGAUGCUACAGGAUCUAAGACUGAUGUGCUCAGACGAUGCUUGGUUGGUGAGUAUAAGAGCUGUUUCUGACUUGCUAGCUAUUUUUCAGUGUUUGACUGGCAUGAGGCGGUCCUGAUCUAUGACCCGUGGUAAACGCUUCAGGGUCACUUUAUUCAGAUGCAGAGGGCCCCUUCCUUGGAUGGCAUUUCCCUCAGUUCUUAAGUCUCUAUGGUUCCAAAAUGGAUCACACAAGAAGGAGAUGUGAGAAACUGACUAGAUUUGAUACCGAGAGGUCAUCUUUGCCUGUCACGUCACAUCAAAAGACAGCCCUGGAGUCCACUCACACAUCAGUAGUUAGGGUCAAUCUCUAAGAAAAAGGCUUUUCUUAGCUUGGUGGGAAAUGCAGAACAGAGCAAUGAGAAGAGGGAAAAUAUUUUCCCUAUCUAGCUUAUUUAAUUACAUUGUUUCACAAGCCAGCCCCUCUCUAAAAAUUACUAUUGUGCAAAUGCUUCCAGCAUCGUUUGCUGCCUGCUGCUUACAAUUUAGCAUAAAUUUGCCAGAUGCAAAUCAUGUAAUUAAUCAGCCUUGAGGUGACGUGAUAGCCGUGCCCUCGGAAUCACAGCAGAAGUCAGAGCAAAGCCUCUGCUCUUCUUGGGUGGUUGUCACGUUUGCAACUUGGGCUGAUGUGAAGAUGUAUCCGCCACACUCGGACCAGUUGCUGUGCCCCGGAGUUCACUGCAGCCUUCAGAAUGGGGACAGCUGAGAUCUUGACAAAUUCCAGCAUGAGAAGCUGAGCAUCUCCAAGCAUUUCGUAGUUUGCCUCAGCUGCGUGCAAGAAAGCAUGUUCCCAUCCCACGCUGGGCAAGGCCUCCUGCACUGGAGGAGACAGUUGUUAUACCACCAGGAAAAUGAGCAACCCCACAAUACUGUUCAGAGGGCUCCAGUCUGCAGUAUCCAGGACAGGCAGUAAGCUUUCCUUCAGCGUCCCUGCACUAUAAUGAAUCAUCUUCAAGAUGACUUCUGCAUUGUGGAAAUGUCUGUUAAAGACGGUGAGAAUUGUGCUCUCGAUGGGAAACAGUAAUUGAGCCCUGAAAAGGUUUUUUUUGUUGUUGUUGUUGUUGUUUAUUCUAAUUCAGCUGUGAAACUCAGAGAAUGGGCCUCCACUGCUGAUUACAAAUCUUGGCAUUUAGGUGUUUUUCUAGCAAAAGGCAUCUUCGUUGUGCACUUAGUUCCUCUGAGCCUAAUGACUUGUUCCUCACUGUGCAGUUUCAACAGCCUUUCUUGACCUAAACUUUCAAGAGAUAGUUAAAAAUGCAAGCAAGAUGCUAUGUUUCUCUUAGUGUAUCAUUUAUCAUCUCUUUCUGAUUUUGGACUGUAUCCUUCCAUGAUUACUGUUGCAAAUAAACGGGAGGAAGAAGAGACAGGCAAGGGGUAAGCCACCUCAGCCUAGCAUUACUUCUGCUCUCUCCCUGGACUCUACUUGACCUGGCCUGAAACCAGGGGUUUUGAGUACCCGCCACCAGUCACUGCAGGUGCAGUGGGAAGCCUGCUGAUAGAAUUCACAGGAAGGAAGAGACAUUUUAGUGACCUUUGGGCAGGAAACACCCUCUGCUCUUUGACUGACAGCUUUGAGCUUUGGCCUGGGAAGCCUGUUGGUUUUGGCUGAAAUUUAAUAUCUGGUUAAUGCCGGUUUUGUCACCAAGAAGUCUGCUUGAUACGUAAACCUGUCAAAGGUUGAGAAAAGUCCACUUCCCUGGGUACUUCCAGGAUGCCCCCACACCUACGUGGAUCCAUUUUGUGACGAUUUGAGGGAAACUGCUGUUGUGUACACCAAGUAUUUGCUUUUCGUAAUCUAUACUGUCGGCACGUCGGCCAUGUGUCCAGUGUUCGUGUCCUGACCUGGAAGGUCUGGGGUGCACCCUGAGAAGGACUGUGACUUGGAAACAAGUUACGCCCAGAGCAGCUGCAAGCUGUGCUCAUUUGCUUUCCGUCCUCUAAGUUCAGUGUGUGGGUGGAAGGGAGGGUGUGCAAAUAAAGUGACUGGAAAGAUUUUGGUUUAA